AUACAUGUGGAGAUUAAGACCCAUAAUAACAAUGACAACACUUUCAUAACAGUUCAUCUGUGUUAACAUACAAAUUCUCGCAGCAACACUCCAGGGCGCUUUAUGUGUGGAUCUUUUUUAGUCUGCAUAUUAACCCUACAAGUUGGAAAUGGCUCCUCUCAAACACUGGAGAUAGAGCAGCCCAAAUGUAUCUGCUACUGUGGUGCCUUCCAUAAUGCAAAACUCUCUGAGGAGCUGAGAAUAUGUCUACUGCUACCAAAAUUGUAACCCCCAUCAUCUAGUAAAGAGUUGGUACACGGUGAACAUUUGCUGUGGGAAUGUAUUCUGCUUCAUUCCAGAGGCCUGCCAAUUCUUAAUCUCACUAUAGGCUGAAGAGCUGCUCACAUAGAAUACUUGUAGUGACUUCCAUUUUCACCAGUUUAGAUCAGUGGACAGAGAGAUGCUGAAUUACUGCUCAAGAAGUAUAGAUCCACAUGCCUUCAACUUCAGAAUCUUAAAUUAGAGGCGAAUGUUGAGUCUACUAAACUGUAUAGUCUGUAAAGGCAGGAACUGUAUUUAUCUCAGUCAUAUUUAAU
rnacentral:lncRNA from 10 species